UACAGGGACUGUUAGGUCCGCAGGUUCCAGGUUCAAAUCACUGGAAGUAAGGAGUGACGUCCGAGGGACAGAGGGAGUCUCUGCUCCCCCGAGUGUUUUCUUCUCUUUGUACCCCCCUCUGGGUGCUUCCCCAGGACCCUUCCUCCGACCCCUUCCGACGCCAAGGAAACCGGAAUGGGGGGUGUAUGAUUCAGCCUUUUCUUCGGGAAGGAAACCAGCGCUCAUUGAAGAGUCUGAUCUGCUCCAUUGCGCGACUCUCCUGACCCACAGCGUUGCUGCCCUGAGACCCGAGAGCCACUGCCACCCGAUACAGAUGAGGAAAUGGGGACUCAGGGAGGGGAUCAAAUGGGAGUGUGAAGAGUAGCCUCCAGAAGGACACAGGGGAACAGUCCUGGUGCUUGCCUCUGGGCACGGGGGCGGAGAAUGAGGAGACUCACUUUUCUCUUUGAAUGUUUACAUCAUGCCUUACGAGGCGCAUAUAUUCCGAGGGGCUAUAAUUAUAAUGCAUGACCGUGUGCUUGCUCAAUAAAUGAAUGCGAAAGUAAAUAA